GAUGAACGCUAGCUACAGGCUUAACACAUGCAAGUCGAGGGGCAGCAUGAACAUAGCUUGCUAUGUUUGAUGGCGACCGGCGCACGGGUGCGUAACACGUAUCCAAUCUACCCAUGGCUCGGGGAUAGCCUUUCGAAAGAAAGAUUAAUACCCGAUGGUCUCGGUUUAAGGCAUCUUAGACUGAGUAAAGAUUUAUCGGCGAUGGAUGAGGAUGCGUCUGAUUAGGUAGAUGGCGGGGUAACGGCCCACCAUGCCUACGAUCAGUAGGGGUUCUGAGAGGAAGGUCCCCCACAUUGGAACUGAGACACGGUCCAA
rnacentral:rRNA from 1 species